rnacentral:rRNA from 1 species
GCCUACGGGAGGCAGCAGUGGGGAAUAUUGCACAAUGGGGGGAACCCUGAUGCAGCGACGCCGCGUGGGCGAUGGAGUGCUUCGGCAUGUAAAGCCCUAUCAGCAGGGAAGAAAAUGACGGUACCUGACUAAGAAGCCCCGGCUAAAUACGUGCCAGCAGCCGCGGUAAUACGUAUGGGGCAAGCGUUAUCCGGAUUUACUGGGUGUAAAGGGAGCGUAGACGGCGCGGCAAGUCUGAAGUGGAAGGCAGGGGCUUAACCCCUGAACUGCUUUGGAAACUGC